ACUCGGAGCCGCGGCCGCCGCCGCCGCAGCCAACUCGGGCCCAAGUUCCCGGCCGCGGCGGAGAGGAGCGCGCAGCCGGCGACCCGAGCCCUGCGCCAGGGCCCAGCCUCCUCUGCUCGGCCACCGCCCGCGCCCCGCCUCCGCCCUGCAGGCUCGGUCCGGGCGCUGCGCGGGAGCCUCGGGCAGGGAGCGCGGGCUCGGCGGGAGCGACUGGCCGAAGCCCGGAGCCGGGCGGACGUUCGGUGGGACCCGAGCGCAGCGCGAAGAGUCGGUGUACCGGUCACCCCGGCCCCGCGGGCACUCGAAGGGCCGGGCCGGGCGAAGAGCGAGCCGGAGCCCGCGGGCCUGACAAGCCGCGGACGCGCAGGUAUGGGGAGGCUGGAUCCAUUUUUACUGCUGUUGACAUGGUGCCCUGUGGCCUGAGCUUGACCAUCCUGGGUUCAGAGAGCCCCCACUCACUUCUUUGAGGGCACCUUCCUGGACACCCAUCUUCUUGUGGUGCAGAAGGGAGCUGGGCUGGGGUACGGAGUCCGCUGGUGAGUGGCUGGCUGAUUGAGGGGAGGAGUCUUCAUAUCUGGAGAAGAGGGUACCUUCUCAGCUGCUGAGAACUGGAGGGAGAAAUUUACAAGUACCAGGCGAAGCACAGGCAGAGGCUCUCAACCAAAUUCCUUUCUGUGCAAAAAAGGUUGAGGGAUCAGUAGUAGGGCUUGACCAAUGAAAGUAGGAGGUUGAUUCAUCUUUCCCAGAUAUAUUCUCAGGUGUACCCAGUUCGGGAUGAGGACAAGAGGCCCAUGAUCUUAACUUCCAAAUGUUAAUUUACCAGCCUUUCGUCAAGCGUGUAUUUAACCUUUAAAGUAAAACCAAAACAGCAAAGCGGAGAAGCCUCUGGUUACAGUUGGUAGGACUACUUUUCAUAGUAAAUGAAAGAUGUGAGCACAAAGCCUAAGACUUAGGUGCCCAGAUUUUUACUGGUCUGCACAGCCAGGCGGUCUCUUGGAAGAAGGGAAACAAUCUAAGAACUCAGCUUGUGGAAGCUUCCAGUGCUGUAGAGGCAAAUGCUAAAUGAGAAAGCUGACCCUAAUUCAGAGUCCUUUCCUGCUAGGGUUCACACAUUUUCCCCCCAGGCAAUAAGCACUGUAACCUAAGAGGAAGGAAAGAGAUCCACACCUUCCCCAAAGAAAAGGAAGAUGGAUCUCGUGUCAGGCUCCAUUAGACCCACUUGCGCCAGCUCUCCAAGGAGGAACAAUGCCGCUUUUGUGAUAGGCCCCAGCAGCGAGUUUGGAAACUUUACAAAACAAUCUUACCCAAGAGAAACCUGGUUCCAGCUCUCUUCCUGGAAAGAGGUGUUGAUCCAAGAAAGUUUAAUGCUGCUCUUAUCAGCUCUUCCUGGGAUCAGUGUUAAAAAAAAAAAAAAAAAAA
rnacentral:lncRNA from 1 species